rnacentral:rRNA from 1 species
CACGUAGGGGACGAGCGUUGUCCGGAUUCAUUGGGCGUAAAGGGCUCGUAGGCGGCCAACUAAGUCACACGUGAAAUCCCCAGGCUCAACCUGGGAACUGCGUGUGAUACUGGAUGGCUUGAAUUCGGGAGAGGGAUGCAGAAUUCCAGGUGUAGCGGUGAAAUGCGUAGAUAUCUGGAGGAAUACCGGUGGCGAAGGCGGCAUCCUGGACCGACAUUGACGCUGAUGAGCGAAAGCUAGGGGAGCAAACGGG